rnacentral:tRNA from 5 species
GGAGAGGUGACAGAGCGGCCGAAUGUGGCGGUCUUGAAAACCGCUGUGCGCCUAGCGCACCGGGGGUUCGAAUCCCCCUCUCUCCGCCA